rnacentral:rRNA from 1 species
UACGUAGGGGGGCAAGCGUUAUCCGGAUUUAUUGGGCGUAAAGAGCGUGUAGGCGGCCUGAAAGGUCAGCUGUGAAAACUCGAGGCUCAACCUCGAGACGUCGGUUGAAACCAUCUGGCUAGAGUCCGGAAGAGGAGUGUGGAAUUCCCGGUGUAGCGGUGAAAUGCGCAGAUAUCGGGAAGAACACCCGUGGCGAAGGCGGCACUCUGGGACGGUACUGACGCUGAGACGCGAAAAGCGUGGGGGAGCGAACAGG